UACGGAGGGGGCUAGCGUUGUUCGGAAUUACUGGGCGUAAAGCGUGCGUAGACGGUUACAUAAGUACGGGUGUGAAAGCCCCGGGCUCAACCUGGGAAUUGCAUUCGAGACUGCGUAGCUAGGGUGCGGAAGAGGGAAGCGGAAUUUCCGGUGUAGCGGUGAAAUUCGUAGAUAUUCGGAGGAACACCAGUGGCGAAGGCGGCUCACUGGUCCGGUACUGACGCUGAGGUGCGAAAGCGUGGGGAGCGAACGAGGA
rnacentral:rRNA from 1 species